GAGGAUCCGAGCGUUAUCCGGAUUUAUUGGGUUUAAAGGGUGCGUAGGCGGCCUUUUAAGUCAGCGGUGAAAGUCUGUGGCUCAACCAUAGAAAUGCCGUUGAAACUGGGGGGCUUGAGUAUGUUUGGGGCAGGCGGAAUGCGUGGUGUAGCGGUUAAAUGCUUAGAUAUCACGCAGAACCCCGAUCGCGAAGGCAGCCUGCCAAGCCAUGACUGACGCUGAUGCACGAAAGCGUGGGGAUCGAA
rnacentral:rRNA from 1 species